rnacentral:rRNA from 1 species
CCGGCGAUGUCCGAAUGGGGAAACCCAGUGCAAUUCGUUGCACUAUCGUUAACUGAAUACAUAGGUUAACGAGGCGAACCGGGGGAACUGAAACAUCUAAGUACCCCGAGGAAAAGAAAUCAACCGAGAUUCCCCCAGUAGCGGCGAGCGAACGGGGAGCAGCCCAGAGUCUGAAUCAGCUUGUGUGUUAGUGGAACGGUCUGGAAAGUCCGACGGUACAGGGUGAUAGUCCCGUACACCAAAAUGCACAGGCUGUGAACUCGAAGAGUAGGGCGGGACACGUGGUAUCCUGUCUGAAUAUGGGGGGACCAUCCUCCAAGGCUAAAUACUCCUGACUGACCGAUAGUGAACCAGUACCGUGAGGGAAAGGCGAAAAGAACCCCGGCGAGGGGAGUGAAAAAGAACCUGAAACCGUGUACGUACAAGCAGUGGGAGCACCUUCGGGUGUGACUGCGUACCUUUUGUAUAAUGGGUCAGCGACUUAUAUUCUGUAGCAAGGUUAACCGUAUAGGGGAGCCGCAGGGAAACCGAGUCUUAACUGGGCGUUAAGUUGCAGGGUAUAGACCCGAAACCCGGUGAUCUAGCCAUGGGCAGGUUGAAGGUUGGGUAACACUAACUGGAGGACCGAACCGACUAAUGUUGAAAAAUUAGCGGAUGACUUGUGGCUGGGGGUGAAAGGCCAAUCAAACCGGGAGAUAGCUGGUUCUCCCCGAAAGCUAUUUAGGUAGCGCCUCGUGAACUCAUCUUCGGGGGUAGAGCACUGUUUCGGCUAGGGGGUCAUCCCGACUUACCAACCCGAUGCAAACUACGAAUACCGAAGAAUGUUAUCACGGGAGACACACGGCGGGUGCUAACGUCCGUCGUGAAGAGGGAAACAACCCAGACCGCCAGCUAAGGUCCCAAAGUCAUGGUUAAGUGGGAAACGAUGUGGGAAGGCACAGACAGCCAGGAUGUUGGCUUAGAAGCAGCCAUCAUUUAAAGAAAGCGUAAUAGCUCACUGGUCGAGUCGGCCUGCGCGGAAGAUGUAACGGGGCUAAACCAUGCACCGAAGCUGCGGCAGCGACACUAUGUGUUGUUGGGUAGGGGAGCGUUCUGUAAGCCUGCGAAGGUGACCUGUGAGGGUUGCUGGAGGUAUCAGAAGUGCGAAUGCUGACAUAAGUAACGAUAAAGCGGGUGAAAAGCCCGCUCGCCGGAAGACCAAGGGUUCCUGUCCAACGUUAAUCGGGGCAGGGUGAGUCGACCCCUAAGGCGAGGCCGAAAGGCGUAGUCGAUGGGAAACAGGUUAAUAUUCCUGUACUUGGUGUUACUGCGAAGGGGGGACGGAGAAGGCUAUGUUAGCCGGGCGACGGUUGUCCCGGUUUAAGCAUGUAGGCUGGUUGUCCAGGCAAAUCCGGAUAAUCAAGGCUGAGGUGUGAUGACGAGGCACUACGGUGCUGAAGUAACAAAUGCCCUGCUUCCAGGAAAAGCCUCUAAGCAUCAGGUAACAUCAAAUCGUACCCCAAACCGACACAGGUGGUCAGGUAGAGAAUACCAAGGCGCUUGAGAGAACUCGGGUGAAGGAACUAGGCAAAAUGGUGCCGUAACUUCGGGAGAAGGCACGCUGGUGUGUAGGUGAAGCCCCUGCGGGUGGAGCUGAGACCAGUCGAAGAUACCAGCUGGCUGCAACUGUUUAUUAAAAACACAGCACUGUGCAAACACGAAAGUGGACGUAUACGGUGUGACGCCUGCCCGGUGCCGGAAGGUUAAUUGAUGGGGUUAUCCGUAAGGAGAAGCUCUUGAUCGAAGCCCCGGUAAACGGCGGCCGUAACUAUAACGGUCCUAAGGUAGCGAAAUUCCUUGUCGGGUAAGUUCCGACCUGCACGAAUGGCGUAAUGAUGGCCAGGCUGUCUCCACCCGAGACUCAGUGAAAUUGAACUCGCUGUGAAGAUGCAGUGUACCCGCGGCAAGACGGAAAGACCCCGUGAACCUUUACUAUAGCUUGACACUGAACAUUGAGCCUUGAUGUGUAGGAUAGGUGGGAGGCUUUGAAGCGUGGACGCCAGUCUGCGUGGAGCCAACCUUGAAAUACCACCCUUUAAUGUUUGAUGUUCUAACGUUGGCCCCUUACCGGGGUUGCGGACAGUGUCUGGUGGGUAGUUUGACUGGGGCGGUCUCCUCCCAAAGCGUAACGGAGGAGCACGAAGGUUAGCUAAUCCUGGUCGGACAUCAGGAGGUUAGUGCAAUGGCAUAAGCUAGCUUGACUGCGAGCGUGACGGCGCGAGCAGGUGCGAAAGCAGGUCAUAGUGAUCCGGUGGUUCUGAAUGGAAGGGCCAUCGCUCAACGGAUAAAAGGUACUCCGGGGAUAACAGGCUGAUACCGCCCAAGAGUUCAUAUCGACGGCGGUGUUUGGCACCUCGAUGUCGGCUCAUCACAUCCUGGGGCUGAAGUAGGUCCCAAGGGUAUGGCUGUUCGCCAUUUAAAGUGGUACGCGAGCUGGGUUUAGAACGUCGUGAGACAGUUCGGUCCCUAUCUGCCGUGGGCGCUGGAGAAUUGAGGGGGGCUGCUCCUAGUACGAGAGGACCGGAGUGGACGCAUCACUGGUGUUCGGGUUGUCAUGCCAAUGGCACUGCCCGGUAGCUAAAUGCGGAAGAGAUAAGUGCUGAAAGCAUCUAAGCACGAAACUUGCCCCGAGAUGAGUUCUCCCUGAGACUAUAAGUCUCCUGAAGGAACGUUAAAGACGAUGACGUUGAUAGGCCGGGUGUGUAAGCGCAGCGAUGCGUUGAGCUAACCGGUACUAAUGAACCGUGAGGCUUAACCUU